AACGAACGCUGGCGGCAGGCCUAACACAUGCAAGUCGAACGCUUCAGCAAUGAAGAGUGGCAGACGGGUGAGUAUCGCGUGGGAACCUUCCCAGUGGUACGGAAUAGCCCAGGGAAACUUGGGGUAAUACCGUAUAAGCCCCUAGGGGGAAAGAUUUAUCGCCAUUGGAUGGGCCCGCGUCGGAUUAGCUUGUUGGUGAGGUAAAAGCUCACCAAGGCGACGAUCCGUAGCUGGUCUGAGAGGAUGAUCAGCCACACUGGGACUGAGACACGGCCCAGACUCCUACGGGAGGCAGCAGUGGGGAAUAUUGGACAAUGGGCGCAAGCCUGAUCCAGCCAUGCCGCGUGAGUGACGAAGGCCUUAGGGUUGUAAAGCUCUUUUGGCGGGGACGAUAAUGACGGUACCCGCAGAAUAAGCUCCGGCUAACUUCGUG
rnacentral:rRNA from 1 species